rnacentral:piRNA from 1 species
AUUCCGGCUCGAAGGACUUCGUG